UACGGGGGGGGCAAGCGUUGUUCGGAAUUACUGGGCGUAAAGGGCUCGUAGGCGGCCAACUAAGUCAGACGUGAAAUCCCCAGGCUUAACCUGGGAACUGCAUUCGGGACUGCAUUGCUAGAGUAUGGGAGAGGGAAGUGGAAUUUCCGGUGUAGCGGUGAAAUGCGUAGAUAUCGGAAGGAACAUCAGUGGCGAAAGCGACUUCCUGGACCAAUACUGACGCUCAUGUGCGAAAGCGUGGGGAGCAAACAGG
rnacentral:rRNA from 1 species